rnacentral:rRNA from 1 species
AUAUCAAUAAGCGGAGGAAAAGAAACCAACAGGGAUUCCCCUAGUAACGGCGAGUGAAGCGGGAAAAGCUCAAUUUUGAAAUCUCCGAAAGGCGAAUUGUAGUUUCAAGACACAUUUUCGGGUUUGUUCUAGGUUCAAGUCCGCUGGAACGCGGCGCCAAAGAGGGUGAGAGCCCCGUGGAGCCUGGUGCACAAACCUAUGUGAUAUGUGCUCGAAGAGUCGGAUAGUUUGGGAUUGCUGUCCAAAAUGGGUGGUAAAUACCAUCUAAAGCUAAAAUAUCGACGAGAGACCGAUAGCGCACAAGUA